rnacentral:rRNA from 1 species
UACGUAGGGGGCUAGCGUUGUCCGGAAUCAUUGGGCGUAAAGCGCGUGUAGGCGGUCCGGUAAGUCCGCUGUGAAAGUCGGGGGCUCAACCCUCGAAUGCCGGUGGAUACUGUCGGGCUAGAGUGCGGAAGAGGCGAGUGGAAUUCCUGGUGUAGCGGUGAAAUGCGCAGAUAUCAGGAGGAACACCAAUUGCGAAGGCAGCUCGCUGGGACGUUACCGACGCUGAGACGCGAAAGCGUGGGGAGCAAACAGG